UGAACGCUGGCGGCGUGCCUAAUACAUGCAAGUCGAGCGAACAGAUAAGGAGCUUGCUCCUUUGACGUUAGCGGCGGACGGGUGAGUAACACGUGGGUAACCUACCUAUAAGACUGGAAUAACUCCGGGAAACCGGGGCUAAUGCCGGAUAACAUUUAGAACCGCAUGGUUCUAAAGUGAAAGAUGGUUUUGCUAUCACUUAUAGAUGGACCCGCGCCGUAUUAGCUAGUUGGUAAGGUAAUGGCUUACCAAGGCAACGAUACGUAGCCGACCUGAGAGGGUGAUCGGCCACACUGGAACUGAGACACGGUCCAGACUCCUACGGGAGGCAGCAGUAGGGAAUCUUCCGCAAUGGGCGAAAGCCUGACGGAGCAACGCCGCGUGAGUGAUGAAGGGUUUCGGCUCGUAAAACUCUGUUAUUAGGGAAGAACAAACGUGUAAGUAACUGUGCACGUCUUGACGGUACCUAAUCAGAAAGCCACGGCUAACUAC
rnacentral:rRNA from 1 species